rnacentral:rRNA from 1 species
AUUGAACGCUGGCGGCAUGCCUUACACAUGCAAGUCGAACGGUAACAGGUCUUCGGAUGCUGACGAGUGGCGAACGGGUGAGUAAUACAUCGGAACGUGCCUAGUAGUGGGGGAUAACUACUCGAAAGAGUGGCUAAUACCGCAUGAGAUCUACGGAUGAAAGCAGGGGACCGCAAGACCUUGUGCUACUAGAGCGGCCGAUGGCAGAUUAGGUAGUUGGUGGGAUAAAAGCUUACCAAGCCGACGAUCUGUAGCUGGUCUGAGAGGACGAUCAGCCACACUGGGACUGAGACACGGCCCAGACUCCUACGGGAGGCAGCAGUGGGGAAUUUUGGACAAUGGGCGAAAGCCUGAUCCAGCAAUGCCGCGUGCAGGAUGAAGGCCUUCGGGUUGUAAACUGCCUUUGUACGGAACGAAAAGCCCCGGGUUAAUACCCUGGGGUCAUGACGGUACCGUAAGAAUAAGCACCGGCUAACUACGUGCCAGCCGCCGCAGUAA